UCAUGCAAGCCUUGAAACCGAGGAAUGAUUGCUGUGUGACUUGAUUGUGUUUGUUACUUACAUAACAUCAUAACAUCAUAACAUCGUGGUGCUAACCAUUUCGAGGACUUAGGGAUUUAGCUUUGUUGUGUUUUAAAAAAAAAAAAAAAAAGGGGGCUCCUUUUGGUAGUUUACGCAAAGUUAAAUCCCGAAAGUCCUUGGAAACAUUUCAUACAUCACAUUGCAUAACAUAACAUUGCAUGACAGGUAUUCUAAAGGAUCAAUGUUCUCACGGUCUUCCUAUUGCGAACAGACUCAAACAGAUUCAAACAGAUUC
rnacentral:lncRNA from 1 species